rnacentral:lncRNA from 1 species
UAUAAAAGACUAGAUGGGACAUUGGCAGUGUUUUAGUGCGUGCGACUGGCCGCCAUGUUUGUGAGGGCGGGAAUCUGCGGCGCUGUGUAAACACUACGGGAGGAGGGGGGUAUUUGAGACUGAUUUUGUGGUAUUUUUCGACCGAAAAGUGUUAAUAUUUUUUGCUCACGGCAUUCUUUGGAAUGUGUAGAUUGUGGAACAAGUGCUGAAAUAUGCUUAUCUAUUGUAAUUUGGCUACGUUAGCCUUAGACAUGUUGCACUGUUGACGCUGAUGAAGAAUAGGCGGCACCAAAGCUUUAAAGACUAGAGUAUCUUUUGAAAUUGAAAUUUGCCUCUCAGUCUCUCAAGAAUCAAGAUGCCAAAUAGAUGUGCAGGAUUUGAUUGCUGACAAACCAGGGAUGAGGCUCAAGAGUCAAGAGAUCACCCUGCAUUGGCAAGUGGCUGGAACAACCCCAGUGCCGCACAGUUCUGCGGGAUAUUCCGGCACCUGCUCCACCGCUGCGGCGUCCGGCCCGGCAGCACAGGGAAAGUGGCAGCCCUCGACCCGACCAGCAUCCUGGCAGUCGGUCACACGACCAGCGGACGGGGAGCCAGCCUUACUACCUCGGCCUCCACCACCUCAGACAACGGUGCCACGGCACUCCACAUCAUCACGGAGCACGACUUCCAGCCUGGGCUGUCGUCUGGUGGGCAACAUCGUCACCUACAUCGCAGGGUUCGUGGCGAAGAAGGCGCUCGACUCUGUCAGCUGUAACACCUGUCAGGAGGCCCUGGUGAGCGACAUCCAGCCGGACGACAUGACACAGCUUUACCACCUCUUCAUCAUCUCUGCCAGAUGAGCUAAGGUGGGGACGGGUUACAUGCCUGGGAUCUGACUGAGACCCGCUCAUACCCUGCCGAAGUGUUGGUGAUUUCAGCGGUCAGCUGUCUCUAGCCGGUGUCAGUGAGUCGCGGCCAGCUGCCGCUGGAGUGGGUAUCUACCGUCGAUAGCUGCUGUGUGGCGGAUAGCGUGGAUUUGGAUGGACACUUCAUAUUAAUGAACAGAUCAAUGUCUGGCCGAUAAAAGACGUAUUUUGUCGAUGAUUGCUUAGUGACUGAGUGGGUCCACUGGCGACCAAUGCAGUGGGCGCUGGGUUAACGCCUCGCCUCUUGUGACCGUGUCGAUAUGUAGCACUGUUAAUUGCCGAUUCGUUGCCGGCCGUCUCUGCUCCGUGGCUGGCUGAUCCGGCACAAACUGGUGUUCGUGGCUGAAGGCGCGGCUACAGUUACACUAGCUCGCCACGUGCCUGUGCGACUAUCGUCGGUGCUGUCUGCAAGGGCGAUGUCGGUGCCUGUAGGGGGCGCGGAUUGAUUCAAAGUGAGGAAUGGGUCAUCGGAGCUCGGGUCAGGUCAUGUUCGGCUAAAAUAAGCGGAUUUUGCGAUUUGCCGCAUCCGGGUGAAUUUCCUUGCCUUCUAGUGCAUGUUUAUGCAUUUUACAUGCGUUUUUUUUAGUGUUGAUGUCUAGAUAACGUGCAUUUGCUUCGAGGUCAAGGCUGCGCUUCAUAUGGGCAGUUUUCGGAGCAUCUUGCUCAUUUUAUUCGUAAUCCUUAAUUAUGUUUGCGGAUUUGUGCCCGCAAAUCAUUUUUUAAAGUAAGAUUGACACGGGAUUCGAGAUCGGCGCCCAUAAAUACACUUCACAUGACC